rnacentral:rRNA from 1 species
CUACGGGAUGCUCCAGUGAGGAAUAUUGCACAAUGGGGGGAACCCUGAUGCAGCAACGCCGCGUGGAGGAUGACGCAUUUCGGUGUGUAAACUCCUUUUAUAUGUCAAGAAAAUGACGGUAGCAUAUGAAUAAGCACCGGCUAACUCCGUGCCAGCAGCCGCGGUAAUACGGAGGGUGCAAGCGUUACUCGGAAUCACUGGGCGUAAAGGACGCGUAGGCGGGUUGGAAAGUCAGGUGCGAAAUCCUACAGCUUAACUGUAGAACUGCACUUGAAACUUCUAAUCUAGAGUAUGGGAGGGGGAGAUGGAAUUAGUGGUGUAGGGGUAAAAUCCGUAGAUAUCACUAGGAAUACCUAAAGCGAAGGCGAUCUCCUGGAACAUUACUGACGCUAAGGCGUGAAAGCGUGGGGAGCAAACAGGAUUAGAUACCCCCCGUAGUC